rnacentral:lncRNA from 1 species
CCACAAUUAUGAUGAAAUAUUAACAUCGACUAUUGUUUUUUGAGAAGUAAUAGUUCAUUUUUUUUAAUUGGUAUUUAUAUUGAUGAUAUAAAUGCACCAAUCUUGGGGCCAAAAACGGUGAAUAUUUUUUGAAAACACAAUAGUUUAUAGAUUCUUUUAAUUUGUAGGCUCCACAUUUUGAAAUAUUUUGUAUUUGCAAUCAUCAGUUCACCUGUCUUUCAUGAUUUUCAUAUAAAUAACCAGUAUUUUGCAUUUUAUUAGAACUGGUGGAUGAAAUGUUUCAUUUAUAAAGGAGAAUUUUUUUUUAUAAGAGCUACCAUUUGGCUAGAAUAGUGAGAUUCUUCAGUCUUUCACAAGUAUUAUUAUUUCAUUAUAACAUUAUUGAUAAUUUCUGUUCACUUUUAGUGCAGAAAUGUCAUUUGAAAUAUAAAUGUGAUAUCUCACAGCUUAAUUUCUUAAUAUGAAUAUCUGAAGGGCAUUAUUAUAUAUAUAUAUCAUACUUUUUGAAUUUUGUUUUUCCAGGGGCUAAAUAAAAUUUCAUAUUCCUUUUUCUGUUAAUAAAAAAAGUUGAUCUGUAAUAAUGUAUUAUUCUUUUGUAGAAUUUAAGUAAUCUCUUUUUUUUUCAUCUUUUAUAAAAUCUAUAUUUUUUAUACUAUAUACAGUUCAGCCUAAGACUUUAUGAGAAAAUGAGUGAUUUUUGGAAAUUUUAUUUUAGAGUUUUGUAUAUUUUUAUUGGAAAAACAAUGAUUGAAUUAAAAAAAAACAGGCAUUUUUAAGAGAUUAAUUUUGGCCAGGUCGCCAAGAUAGCAAAUUUCAGCAAUUAUGCAUGUUUGUAAACAAAUUUUUCUGCAGUUUCUUACCCAGUUUUAUGAAACAUAAAAUGUUUGCAAACCAAUUGAGGUUUUGUACAUUUUAUUAUGGAGUUGACAAAAAUAAUUCCCUAAUUUUUUAAAUCUGUUUAUCCUUAAUUUGACUUUGGUCCAUUUUUCAAUUAUCUUUGGAUGUGUCUAUGUAUUCAUUUCUUAUUUUCUGAAGGAUUGUUUUGGUAAAGUUUUGAAGUUGUACAUUAUAGUCGAUGUUGAUGAUAGACCUAAUUCUGUUAGAUACAUGACAAUCAAAAUAAUCAUAGAAAACAAUCAAACAUCAACAGUGAGGAACAUCAGUGGUUAGUGAACAAGCCAAAAUCAUUUUUAAAUGAUGUGUGAAAAUACAACUAUUAUCUUAUUUAAUAUUUGAGAACCAAAAGAUUGCUAAGAAAGAGAAAUUUUUAUUUUGUACCAUUCUUUUAUAAAUGGCAUAAAGAAAUAUUUUUAUUUAGAAUAAUUUUGCCUGUUUCAAUAAUAGCGCACUGAUUCAUUCUAAUUAAGGAAAAUUGAAAACGUUAGAAUAUCCUGCAAACUGACUUUAUAAAAAAAAUAUAAUAAAAACGUUUUACAAACUUUGAAAAUUGUGUUAUAUAUAUUUAAAUCAUAAAAGUGUAUGGAAUAUGUUUACUACUUUUGCUAUAGAUGAUAAAAAUGUAGUGCAAAAGUAAAAGAAUUAUACAGAAUUCAAAAUAUUUCUCCCUUCUAUGUCUCUAUUAUUUUAUCUUUAAGGAAACCAAAUCCGAACUUCUAUGUAUAAAAAUAAGAAGAUGUCUUAGAUGACUUAGAACUAUAGGUCACCAUGCAGCCUUUAUGUUGUUCUAUGUUCUUAUUAGAAAUUGAAUUAAAAACAUCAUCCAAAUCUUUAAAUGUUACAAGUAUAAUUAUUGUUCUAAGAUUUAUUUUUAAACAACAUUGACCAAAAUAUGACAUAUCAGGGAAUUUAGAUUUUUAUUUUGUUUUGCUGUUACAUUUAUUAAUUUUGCUUUAAUAAAAAUUAAUUAUUUAGAUUUUUCUUCACAUAUAUUUUAUGUCAUGUUUUUGUUUUCAUCUAGUGAAUGACAAUCAUUAGAACAUAUUUUAUUUUGAAUGAUAGCGUCAUUUUAACUCAUGUUCAUACUAGUCUUAGUGUAGAAGAUAUGAAUAAAGGGAGACAAUGAGACAGCAACCCUUCAUAAAAGACUCAGAUACCAUACAGUCUUUAACACAAAAAAGUGUGAUUAUGAUAUGUCAAGUUACAAACCAUUUAAAAGAAAACAAAGGAUAUGGCUUAUCUAUCCAUGACACAAAACCAGUACAUACACAGGCAAUAAAACACAAAAAGCAAAUGAACAGAGUAAAAUGGUAAACAAAUUUAACAAGAACUGUCAAAGAUUAGCUAUCAAUACUGCAUUCAUUGGUAAACAUAUUUAACAAGGACUGUCAAAGAUUAGCUAUCAAUACUGCAUUCAUUGGUAAACAUAUUUAACAAGAACUGUCAAAGAUUAGCUAUCAAUACUGCAUUCAUUGGUAAACAAAUUUAACAAGAACUGUCAAAGAUUAGCUAUCAAUACUGCAUUCAUUGGUAAACAAAUUUAACAAGAACUGUCAAAGAUUAGCUAUCAAUACUAGAUUAAAGUACAACAAAAUAAAAAAUGACUCUUUCAUGGAAAGUUUUCAUAAACAUAUUGGGAUUAGAGAUGUUGUUAUUGGUCUUGAUUACGGGAAUAUCAUAUUAACAUUUAAUAUUUUACUGCUGAAAAAAUAAAACCAGUAUUAACAAAGUUAAUUUUUUAAACCAGAUAUUAAGAAUCGAAUAGUUUUCUAGUCUUAAGCUUUAAAAACAUUCUUGGAGAAGACCUAUUUAUUGUAAUGAAGUUCAUUCAUCCUUUGUUGUAUCAUUAGACUGAUCAUUUACCAUUGUGAGUGUGUAAUCUUUCAUUAAACUGAUGUUUUUAUGUGUAUCAUUGUGUAUGAUCCUAUCACCAUGACAUUUCUCACUUCAAAAAUUGUAUUUAUUGUAUUGAAUGAGUCUCAUUGUUAUGUAUUGCUACUAUUUUUUUAUUCUCCUCAAAUCAAAGCAUAGUUCAAGUAAUUCUAUAAAAUUAUUUUGUCACUACCGUUUUGAUCAUUUCUUCAUUUUAUUUUAAUUAAAUGAGCUCUUUCAACUUAGAUGACACUUAAAUAAGGAGAUUCAUAAUAGUUUAUUUUGAUAUUUUUUACAAACAAAGUUAUAUUUAAAAUUUCCUACACAGACUGAAUGUCAAACUGUCUUUUUUUGCCUUUUGUGGGUGCCAUAUAAUAGGUUUGAAUGGAAAUCUUAUUUCUAAAAGUUUGAAUUUGAAAAAUUUGAAAAGAAAAACUUUUUUUUUAUACAAAUAAUGUUAAUUGAUUGAAAUCAUAAAAUUAAUUCUUUCAGCCUCUAGAUUUAUCAGAAGAACAUGUUAUAGAUGAUGAUCCAAACAUCAGGAUGUUUAUCAUAAACAGUUGUCGCUUGUUUGUUAUGAAAGGCUGAUAUAUUUACACAUUUUUGGCAUGUGGAAGAAAUGAUUAUAAAUUUAUUAACAAGAAGGAAGUGUGGGGGGGGGGGGUGGGGGGGGGACAUAUAAGUCUUAUCAUUAUAUACUUUCUGUUUUGGAAAGAAGGAAUGCUUUAAAUUUACAACAAAUAAGUCCCAUCUUCUUUUUUCUGUAGAAAAAAAAGUCAACAUACUUGCAUCAAAAAGGUUGUUGUUUAUAUUGAUAUACUUAAUAUAAUUCCUUUU